AUGAAUUAAAAUAAAAUGUAAGUUCAUGACCAAACUGGCAACGUCUAUAAUUCAUAAGUCUUAGAAUAAUUUCAACGCUUUGUCCCUUUUAAUUAUACAGACUUAUGAAAGAGACGUUGCCAGUUUGCUUAUGAACUUAUAAACAGCGGGACACGAUAAAAUACAAUUGACUGACUGUUGUCAGUGCCAGUUCAGGAUCACAAACAUGUAUCAAUGAAGUAGCUCAGUACGAAUGGUUAUACAUUUAAUAUUAUAAUAGACAAAACAAUAGACACGAUACAGAAUAGAACAAAUCAACAUCCAAAUAUUUUAAAAAUAAUUGAUCAUAUUGGAGCGGGUAAAUAACUUCAAAGAGGAUGUAAUGAUGGAUCAUUAAAAAAUAGUAAUGUUAAUGUUUAAAACAACUUGAAGUAAUACAUAUAAAUCAGCCAGUUUUGUAGGAUUUUUUGAUCGAUAAAAAGAUAACUAAUCAAAUACACGAGUUUAUAAGUUAGUGUUAAAAGUGUCGCCAAGUCAACUGCUUUGUGGAACAAACAAGGGCGCUCGACCAAGUCAGCUGAUUUAAUCAAACAAAAUCUUGGCGUUUAUUUAAUAAUACUAUACAAGAUACGUUGGAAUUCAUUGUAUGUUGCGUAAUAAAUUAAUUAAGAAUAAUGAACUUAAAUUUAAUUGCAAUAUAAUAUUGAAUUAUAAAAAUUACGAUUUAAUCAAAAUACUAAAUUAUUAUUAGUUGAUGGUGUAAAAUAUCAAAUGUUAAUCUUUUAUAUAUUUUGUAUAAUAUUUUUAUAAACACUAGACAUAUAGGGCUAUUGUUAUAACUUUCAUAAACAUGGAAAUUUCUAUAAAAUAAUUAAUUAUAUAUAAUAUCAAUUUUAAAACCAGGAUAAUAUAUAUUUGUAAAGAGAGACAGGAAGAUGGAUACUGAAUAUUUAAAUUUAUAGCUAGUAAU